AUUGAACGCUGGCGGCAUGCUUUACACAUGCAAGUCGAACGGCAGCGCGGGCUUCGGCCUGGCGGCGAGUGGCGAACGGGUGAGUAAUGCAUCGGAACGUGCCCAGUAGUGGGGGAUAGCCCGGCGAAAGCCGGAUUAAUACCGCAUACGACCUGAGGGUGAAAGCGGGGGACCGACAGGCCUCGCGCUAUUGGAGCGGCCGAGGUCGGAUUAGCUAGUUGGUGGGGUAAAGGCUUACCAAGGCGACGAUCCGUAGCUGGUCUGAGAGGACGACCAGCCACACUGGGACUGAGACACGGUCCAGACUCCUACGGGAGGCAGCAGUGGGGAAUUUUGGACAAUGGGGGCAACCCUGAUCCAGCCAUGCCGCGUGCGGGAAGAAGGCCUUCGGGUUGUAAAGCGCUUUUGUUCGGGAAGAAAUCCUCUGGGCUAAUACCCCGGGGGGAUGACGGUACCGGAAGAAUAAGCACCGGCUAACUACGUG
rnacentral:rRNA from 1 species